rnacentral:tRNA from 1 species
GCUCUCUUAGCUUAAUGGUUAAAGCAUAAUACUUCUAAUAUUAAUAUUCCAUGUUCAAAUCAUGGAGAGAGUUCCA